CGGGGUGUGGCGCAGCCUGGUAGCGCGCUUGUUUUGGGUACAAGAGGCCCCGGGUUCGAAUCCCGGCACCCCGA
rnacentral:tRNA from 1 species